UAAUCCGAUAUUCGUGAGAAGUAAAUGACAUGUAUUUAGUCGUCUUAUUAAUACAGAAAAAUGCUCUAGAAAUAGUCCAGAUGUCUUGAAAUAAAGUCGCGCGAGGCCUGCCCUGACACUGGCAUUCAAGGUCGACCCAUCUCUCUUCCGUGACAGCGGGCCACCCGCGCGGGACGCAUUCCAACAGAAUAGUCACCCAGCAAACACGUGAGUCACUCAACUGCGAUCGCGCAGCAAACAGCUGUGACGCCGUCGCGUGCCAAACCCAGGCAAAAGCAAUGCGUCAGAAAACUUCUUCAGCUAAGCUGGCAGUUUUCAGUCGCAGGCUACACUAUGCGUAUCUGCGGAUUCCACAGGAAGUAUGGAAGGUGCCAGGGUAUUCCGGCAAUUGCUGUCUUUUUUUGUGGUUAUGCGUUGAUGGAUCGUGUUCGGGCAAGACGCAAGAUAUUUCAGCAACUGCGAAAUACCGCAACUAUUCAAGGAAAUUAAUUCAGCAGAUCCCCGCCCUAUGGUGAAAAUUCGACAAAACCCGUUAGGCAUCAAGACACCUAUGGCCUACCGCCUUCACACAAAGCAUUCUUUAAAACACCCCUAAUUAAACAAAUGCAGUGCAUUUUUAAGUAGAAUUUUAAGCAGUCAAUGUGAACGAAUUGCUUUCAAAGCAAAAGUGCCAACUCACACAGACUUUGCAUUUAGCACUAGUUCACUCAGGCUUGCAGACAUGCCACUGUAAAACACUACAUGCCCCAUAAUUAAUUGCUUGAAUUUAAGCCUGCUUUAAGACCUAUUCUCAUUGGCCAAUCGCUCCUGUUCUGAGCACUCGCUGUAGAUAAGGAAGAGUGUCUUCUAUUCCAUGCGUUUUUAUUGAAUAAGAGAAUAGGCGUCAUUGGCAGCUCUAAAUUUUCAAUUGGUGAUUCAGUCUUUUCCACGCCUUUUUACUCGUGGCUUCGGACAGGCUAUUGGCUGGACAACUUGCCAUUCAAGAUCUUGGGAGGCGGGCGUCAUAGCUGCUCUUUGACGUUAGAGUUCCAUUGGCCAGCUGUUGCUGAUCGCGUCAUUGCUCUGCCAGCUGAUCGGACUGAGAAGCCGGUUUGAAGGUAGUUGGAAUCGGGAGAGAAGGCGAGCCGUACUAGGAGCCCAGAAAUCAGAGAAAAUGAUAGGCGCUGCGGUUCCGCAAAUCGAAACAAGGGGACUCGUCUCAUGGCUGGCUGGCUGGAGGAGCGCGUGUGCGUACACACACGCGUGUGCAUGUGCGUGUUGGCUGAUCUGCAGCAGUUCUUCACUGGCAAGCUUUAUGUCCGUGUGUCCCAGCUAAAGCUGCCAGCUGAAGAACUGUUGUGGUCUGCUCUUUCCUACGACGCACGGGAGGAAGAGGAGGAAGACGAGGAAGAUCCUGUGGAGUACUGGGCAUCUCAGGCCAAAGAAUCGGUCAUGUGACACUGACGGGUCAUCCUCAUUCUCACACAAACGUAGACUGCGCAAUUACUUAAAAUGGACCCGCAAAAAAUGAACUAAGCUAAAAACAGGAUAUGAGGAAGUUGCAACUUGAAAAACUUACAUACAGACGCGCACAGAAUUUAUGUGUUUCUCAGGCAUAAACAGGAGCUAGCAGUACACCUCUGUGACACUACCAUAUUCCAGACCAUCUACGUUAUGUAUCUAGGACAUGGUGAUGGAAGGAGAUCAGGGAUGUGUUGAGGCAGGGGUGCCUGACUGAGAGACUAAUUUAACCCACGGAGGUCAGCUCCUGGAGGAGGCCUUGGCCGCGCCUCCUCUAGGACGGGAGGAGAUACUGCGCCUCCUACGGGCAUCUCCUGCCUCUUCCUCAAUGCUCCUCUGCUCCUCAGGAGCAUCAUCCCUGAUCUCCACGUUCACAGAAAUGGAAAUGUGGACUAUUGUACUCUGCCAUACCAUUCUGCAUGUGACUGUCAUUACAAUAAAAUAAUAAAAGGA